rnacentral:rRNA from 2 species
UUAGGAAUAUUGGGCAAUGGAGGAAACUCUGACCCAGCAACGCCGCGUGAAGGAAGAAGGUCUUCGGAUUGUAAACUUCUGAUCUGUGGAAAAAAGAAAGUGAUGGUACCACAGGAGCAAGCCACGGCUAACUACGUGCCAGCAGCCGCGGUAAUACGUAGGUGGCAAGCGUUGUCCGGAAUGACUGGGCGUAAAGGGAGCGUAGGUGGUAAAUUAAGUGAAAUGUGAAAGACCGGGGCCCAACUCCGGAACUGCAUUUCAUACUGGUUUACUAGAGUACAGGAGGGGUAAGCGGAAUUCCUAGUGUAGCGGUUAAAUGCGUAGAUAUUAGGAGGAACACCAGAGGCGAAGGCGGCUUACUGGACUGCAACUGACACUGAGGCUCGAAAGCGUGGGGAUCAAACAGG